ACAGUGGAUCUUACAUUACCUCCUCAAUUUUCAUCAAGAAAUGGAGUCUUCCCAGAAUGAAAGCCAUAACUGCCACAAUCUUUUCAUAACUGGUUCCUUACCUAUGAGAAGUACAGAACCUUUAAUAACUUGUUCCCUCCGCAUCUGACUGUGCUGACUCUUCUGCAGAAUGCACUCAUCAAAUCUAUGGCUUUCAGCUGAUGGAGUGGCAAAUAGGCCUUUGACUGUAGUUCCGUAACGGAAGAAGAUUUUCACUGGCAAUUGGAUGAGCAAAAUCCUACUCACACAAUAACAGCUGUGAACCCUGCUGAGGGCAUCUGUUGGGUGGUUAAUACUGGUUGGGAAUCAUAUAGCUCUGACUGUUUUGUUUACCAGAGAAAUUCCUAUGCUUUUCAACACGGCGUUAAAAGAUAUUGUACCUCCUGUUUGUUUACAUAUAAUGCCGGGACUGUGUUGUCUUUCUUCCCUACUACUGAUUUUCUUCCCUGCAGGGGGCUAGCAUAUCAAAGGACUUUUUUUUUAUUAUUAUUUUCAUUUCAACUGAGUUAUAAUAGUACCACCAGCAGCCUGGAUGUACAAAUGUGCUGUUAAAAAUGAAGUACAUUUCAUGGUG